AUGAGAUACCGUACGAUGCGGUUUUAGAGCUAGAAAUAGCAAGUUAAAAUAAGGCUAGUCCGUUAUCAACUUGAAAAAGUGGCACCGAGUCGGUGC
rnacentral:sRNA from 2 species